AUGUGAAGACAAUGACGCCACAUA
rnacentral:siRNA from 1 species